GCUCAGGAACGCGGUGGCUCUCGGCGGUGGCUGCCCAGGCCAUCUGUUGUGGCGAGGGAGGGACGGGAUGUCCCCGCUGUUCCUCUGGGGACGGCGCUGGGUCUGGGGAGGCGCCGUGCUUUGGCAUGUUGGGGACUGGCCUCCGCAGUCGUAAACACAGAGGAUUCCUUGGGAGCUGAGGGCAGAGGCUCUUUGAAGAGGAGUGACCCUUUCCUUCCUCCCUCGGUCCCUUCCCCAGACGCCCACGUCACUUCUUGGCAGGCGGACACGACACUUACGGGAGGCUGCUGGGUCCCAGGUUUGGGCCUUCUGUGCCCCCCACUCAUCCCCAGCACGGUUUCCUCGGCUGGGCCUUGCCUGCCCUCUGCUCUGUGCUUCCGGGAGGGAGUGUGAGUCGGGAGAAGAGAAAGAGGCAACGGAAGGAGAGGGUCCCGUGAGCCUGCAAAUGCGGCGGAGCUGGGAGGCGAGGCGUCUGGCCCUCCUUGGCUGGUUCCUGGAGCGAGAAUCAGGCAGCUCCUUUUGUUCAUCUCUACAGAGGAAAUACGGAUAAGGGCCAAGCUGGGUUCAAAUCUCCGCCUCACCGCUCACCAGUGACCCUGGACAAGCAGCCUCUUCCUAAGCCUUAUUUCUCGUCUUGCAAACAUGAGACGAUCCUCACAAGGGCUCAGCCGAGCCUGCAGCAGAGGACCCGUAAAUGGUCCGUUCAUUUGAAGCGAGGGUCCUGGGGGGCCUGUGGUGCGUCAGGCCCCGUUCUAGCCAGAGCCCAGGGUGGCCGGCACCCCAAGGUUGGUUUCCGGAGUCAGAGAGGAGACCCUGGAUGCUGAGCAGCAGUGAAAGAAGUGGGGAGCAAGGGGCUGCGUUCCUUGCUGUGUGGUCACAUGUGGCGUCCCAGCCAAAGGUGGAAGGAACACAGCUGUCCAUCAGCCGGUGAAAGGAUGAGCGAAACGUGGGACACGCGCCCGAUGGAAGAUUGCUCAGCCGCACAGGGGCGUGAGGUCCUGAGACUGCAGCACACGGAUGAGCCGCGAAGACUUCACAUCGAGUACAAAUCAGCCAGACACAGAAGGACACGUGUUGGAUGAUUCCACUUACAUGAAGUAUCUAGAGUAAGCAAAUUCAUGGAGACGGAAGGUAGAUUAGAGGCUCCCAGCGGGGAGGGGCGAUGGGAGGUGGCUGCUCAAUGGGGACAGAGUUUCUGUUUGGGAUGACAAAAAAGUUUCGGUAAUGGAUGUUGAUGAUGAUGGUCGUGUGACAUUGCAAAUGCAAUCAGUGUCACUGAAUUGCAAACUCAAAAAUGGUUAAAUGGUGAAUUUUGUGUUUUAUCUGUAUGU